AUUCCAGUGAACAAGCAGUUCGGUAUGCACGAACUGCUUGUUCACUGGAAUAGG
ensembl:miRNA Mir7680 microRNA 7680